GACGGAGGGGGCAAGCGUUGUCCGGACUCACUGGGCGUAAAGGGUGCGUAGGCGGUCUUGUGCGUCGGCGCUGAAAUCACACGGCUCAACCGUGUGGCGCGUGCCGAUACGACGAGACUUGAGGCUCUGAGAGGGUGGCGGAACUCCUGGUGUAGUGGUGAAAUGCGUAGAGAUCAGGAAGAACACCCGUGGCGCAAGCGGCCACCUGGCAGAGUUCUGACGCUGAGGGACGAAAGCGUGGGGAGCGAACCGG
rnacentral:rRNA from 1 species